CGUAGGUGGCAAGCGUUGUCCGGAUUUAUUGGGUUUAAAGGGUGCGUAGGCGGUUUUCUAAGUCAGCAGUGAAAUACGGCAGCUCAACUGUCGAGGUGCUGUUGAUACUGGGGAACUUGAGUACUGAUGAGGUAGGCGGAAUGGACGGUGUAGCGGUGAAAUGCUUAGAGAUCGUCCAGAACACCGAUUGCGAAGGCAGCUUACUAAGGAGUAACUGACGCUGAGGCACGAAAGUGUGGGGAUCAAACAGGAUUAGAUACCCUGGUAGUCCACACUGUAAACGAUGAUUACUCGAUGUGUGCGAUACACGGCACGCGUCUUAGCAAAAGCGAUAAGUAAUCCACCUGGGGAGUACGCCGGCAACGGUG
rnacentral:rRNA from 1 species